CUAACCAUCUGCUUGUUCGCGCGAGUGAAAAAAAAUCCUCAUCCACUGUUACUCUGUUCGAUCCCCAUUUCCUCCGCCUCAGAUCCCCAAUUCCUCUCUUCGUCGCUCCGCUCGAUCCCCAAAUUCUCCCACAGCGCAUGCACUGGAUCCCCAAUUUCUCCGACGAUUGCUCCUCCCGUGGCUGCGCCAACGUCGCUGCUCCUCCCGGCCUCCCCUCCUUCGGCUGUGACCUCGCUGUGCCGUGGCUUCGGUGCCACGUUGCCGCGCGCGGCCUCACCCAUCGAUGACGCUGCAUGCGCGAACUACUCCGGCCGCGACGCUGCCGACGCGUGCUUCUCUGUCUCGUCUGCGCCACAAACUUGAAGCUGCUCUCAACCAUCAGCACCUACUAGACGGUCACCGCCCUCAACUUCGCCUACAUCGUCCGUGAGUUCUGCGUUAGAGACAAGGUGGAGAAAAAAAACAGAUUGGUCAUGGAUGGAAGGAAAACCAUCAACACCAACUAGAUCCAUGUGAAAAGGCAGCAGAAGAAUGCUGGAGGAAGACAACGGCUAGGGGACCAAAUGAGCAACUCAAAUGGAAUAGCAGCAACGGCUAGUAGUACUCGUUACUGUGUUUAGUAACUGACAUGUAUAUUUUAUUGGUGUGCACAGAAAAACAGUAAAGGUAUUGUAUUUUAUAGCUUUGUUGCUACACCUUAAGCUUAAGGUGUACUUUGGUUGCAUCGGACUUGUGGUCUGACUCCACAAUGCUAAAUGCGUUGUACUGUAGCAGUAUUUAAUGUCUAAGGUUACUUUCAGUGUA